UCAGUCUUUUGAAUCUCUCCCCG
rnacentral:miRNA from 1 species